AGAUUGAACGCUGGCGGCAUGCCUUACACAUGCAAGUCGAACGGCAGCACGGGAGCAAUCCUGGUGGCGAGUGGCGAACGGGUGAGUAAUACAUCGGAACGUGCCCAAUCGUGGGGGAUAACGCAGCGAAAGCUGUGCUAAUACCGCAUAAGAUCUACGGAUGAAAGCAGGGGAUCGACAAGACCUUGCGCGAAUGGAGCGGCCGAUGGCAGAUUAGGUAGUUGGUGAAGGUAAAGGCUCACCAAGCCUUCGAUCUGUAGCUGGUCUGGAGACGGACGACCAGGCCCA
rnacentral:rRNA from 1 species